UCCCUUGUGGCUCAGCUGGUAAAGAAUUUGCCUGCAAUGCAGGAGACCUAGGUUUGAUUCCUGGGUUGGGAA
rnacentral:tRNA from 1 species